GGGCAGAUCAGAUAUCGUGCAAAAGUAUUUAAACUUGCUUUUGUACAGUAUCUUGGAUUUGCCCAGAUUAAACGUGUUCUCAUAGUCCACUUUGCUGAAUCUUCUACACAAUUUGGCUCUCCGAAUGCGACAA
rnacentral:snoRNA from 1 species